CAGCAGCAGCAGCAGCAACAACAACAACAAUUGACAACACCCUUUGCUGAGGAGCCCUUUGCUGCCUUCGACCCCUCGACUCCAGGAGCUGGUUAGCUUCCAAUACUCCCUUCUAAACUGCUUCUAGGAGUCAUUCCGAGCAAACCCCUCAGACAACACCCUUUGCUGAGGAGCCCUUUGCUGCCUUCGACCCCUCGACUCCAGGAGCUGGUUAGCUUCCAACAUACUGAUCCCUCCUCAUUGUCAUUGGAAUACUCAGCUGACUAUAUCAGUGGAUGUGCAGACUAUGUCAGUGGAGAUUAUACCUACUUAGUUUGAAAAUAUUAUUAUGUACUUCUUUGAUAAUAACAACAAACAUUCACGAAUGUUUAUACAUCUUCAUCUGAAGUAUGCGCUAUCAUUGUAAAGUUUUUACCUUGAGAUUGGGAUAAUUACACAAGCAUUAGGUCUUUUAUAACAUUUUUC